UACGGAGGAUGCGAGCGUUAUCCGGAUUUAUUGGGUUUAAAGGGUGCGUAGACGGGAUGCCAAGUCAGCGGUAAAAAUGCGGUGCUCAACGCCGUCGAGCCGUUGAAACUGGCGUUCUUGAGUGGGCGAGAAGUAUGCGGAAUGCGUGGUGUAGCGGUGAAAUGCAUAGAUAUCACGCAGAACUCCGAUUGCGAAGGCAGCAUACCGGCGCCCUACUGACGCUGAGGCACAAAAGCGUGGGUAUCAAACAGG
rnacentral:rRNA from 1 species